AGGAGUGACCUUGUUCAAAUGCUGUUAUGUACCUGAACACUUCCGCAACAGAAAAUGUCCCCCUGUCUCCAAUGUAUUUGGGAAAGAAGAUUAGAAAGUCUUCUGUAGCUCUGGACCACUUGUCCAAAAACACAGCCUGGGAAACAACAGCUGUCCCUUCAUGUUCUCAUGUGGCCAUCAAGCCCCUGAGAUCAGACCACGGACCCAAGAAUCACUUGGCCUUAGUGGACCUACCUGGCAGCAUCAGCAAUCUCCAGGAGGAAUUCCAGUCCCAUCAACCAUGCAUCAGAAACACUAACAUUGAUAAAGACCCUGGAGACACGAUCACUGAAUGCAAAGAAUCCUGGCUGAAGAUAAGCAAGAUUAAGUGGACGGCCUUCAAAAACUGGAUUACAGUGGCAGGAAAAAACAACAAGGCUGCUGGGAUAGACAAAGGUAUAAGGCGACAAUUUGAUUUUUUAAAAAAAAACACAUUAUUGGUUUUAUAGUGUAUUUUUAAGAUUUCACAGAUUUGGACUCUUUUAUGGCUACUGUAAUUUAAUGGUGUAACAGGGCGAGGAGCCCUGUACGUAUUAUUUAUUUGUUUAUUUUUAGAACGGGGUCUCCCCUUCCACCCAUGUGCAGAUUAUUGUUUUGUAUUUGUUUGUUUUAUGAUUUAUUUGUAUUUAUUUUGAUGGCGAGGCGCUGUGUGUUUUUGUAUUUAUUUAGAAAUAUAUUGACGGCGUUGCCGAUUGUUUGUUUGUUUUGUUUUAGUAGCGUGGAUGGGUAGCCCCAUCCAGACUGAAAACCUUGUGCAGAAGGUGACCAUCUCCAGAGUUAAUUGUUUAAAUUGUUGCUAAUUGGAAGAUGGUCACCUGUAGAAAAGCCUGCAGCUGUCUGAACGAGAGAGCAAGGAACG